UACGUAGGGUGCAAGCGUUAAUCGGAAUUACUGGGCGUAAAGCGUGCGCAGGCGGUGAUGUAAGACAGGUGUGAAAUCCCCGAGCUUAACCUGGGAACUGCAUUUGUGACUGCAUCGCUGGAGUGCGGCAGAGGGGGAUGGAAUUCCGCGUGUAGCAGUGAAAUGCGUAGAGAUGUGGAGGAACACCGAUGGCGAAGGCAGCCCCCUGGGUCAAGAUUGACGCUCAUGCACGAAAGCGUGGGGAGCAAACAGG
rnacentral:rRNA from 1 species